AUACGUAGGUGACAAGCGUUAUCCGGAUUUACUGGGCGUAAAGGGCGUGUAGGCGGUCUUGCAAGUCAGAAGUGAAAUUCCUGAGCUCAACUCGGGCGCUGCUUCUGAAACUGCAGGACUUGAGUGCUGGAGGGGAUAGCGGAAUUCCUAGUGGAGCGGUAAAAUGCGCAGAUAUUAGGAAGAACACCGGUGGCGAAGGCGUCUAUCUGGACAGUAACUGACGCGGAGGCGCGAAAGCGUGGGGAGCAAACAGGAUUAGAUACCCGGGUAGUCCACGCCGUAAACGAUGAAUACUAGGUGUAGGGGGUAUCGACUCCCUCUGUGCCGCAGUUAACACAAUAAGUAUUCCGCCUGGGGAGUACGGCCGCAAGGUUGAAACUCAAAUGAAUUGACGGGG
rnacentral:rRNA from 1 species